ACUCUUGACAUCCACAGAAUUCGGCAGAGAUGCCUUAGUCCCUUCGGGAACUGUGAGACAGGUGGUGCAUGGCUGUCGUCAGCUCGUGUUGUGAAAUGUUGGGUUAAGUCCCGCAACGAGCGCAACCCUUAUCCUUUGUUGCCAGCGCGUCAUGGCGGGAACUCAAAGGAGACUGCCGGUGAUAAACCGGAGGAAGGUGGGGAUGACGUCAAGUCAUCAUGGCCCUUACGAGUAGGGCUACACACGUGCUACAAUGGCGUAUACAAAGAGAAGCGAACUCGCGAGAGCCAGCGGACCUCAUAAAGUACGUCGUAGUCCGGAUCGGAGUCUGCAACUCGACUCCGUGAAGUCGGAAUCGCUAGUAAUCGUAGAUCAAAGUGCUACGGUGAAUACGUUCCCGGGCCUUGUACACCCCGCACGGCACACCAUGGGAGUGGGUUGCAAAAGAAGUAGGUAGCUUAACCUUCGGGAG
rnacentral:rRNA from 1 species